rnacentral:rRNA from 1 species
UACGGAGGAUCCGAGCGUUAUCCGGAUUUAUUGGGUUUAAAGGGUGCGUAGGCGGCCUGGUAAGUCAGGGGUGAAAGACGGUAGCUUAACUAUCGCAGUGCCCUUGAUACUGCUGGGCUUGAAUGUAGUUGAGGUAGGCGGAAUGUGACAAGUAGCGGUGAAAUGCAUAGAUAUGUCACAGAACACCAAUUGCGAAGGCAGCUUACUAAAGUAUGAUUGACGCCUGAGGCACGAAAGCGUGGGGAUCAAACAGG